rnacentral:rRNA from 1 species
UAGGAAAUCUUCCGCAAUGGGCGAAAGCCUGACGGAGCAACGCCGCGUGAGUGAUGAAGGUCUUCGGAUCGUAAAACUCUGUUAUUAGGGAAGAACAAAUGUGUAAGUAACUAUGCACGUCUUGACGGUACCUAAUCAGAAAGCCACGGCUAACUACGUGCCAGCAGCCGCGGUAAUACGUAGGUGGCAAGCGUUAUCCGGAAUUAUUGGGCGUAAAGCGCGCGUAGGCGGUUUUUUAAGUCUGAUGUGAAAGCCCACGGCUCAACCGUGGAGGGUCAUUGGAAACUGGAAAACUUGAGUGCAGAAGAGGAAAGUGGAAUUCCAUGUGUAGAGGUGAAAUGCGCAGAGAUAUGGAGGAACACCAGUGGCGAAGGCGACUUUCUGGUCUGUAACUGACGCUGAUGUGCGAAAGCGUGGGGAUCAAACAGG